UUAUCUAACAAGUCAUGGGGUACGUGCUUUACCUGGAAGGUGAUAUCCAACCACACCACUACAAGGGCUGGACUGGGUAAUACAACCUACCUAAAUAUGCAUACCAUUGCAACCCACAGAGGUAAAUAGUCAUAAUCUUAUGGAUGGAAGAAUAUCUGUUAACUUCUCUAACUACACUGCAGCAAGGGAUUGCCCUAUACAAGAAGAAGAGGAAAGCGAACUCAUAGAAAAGUACCCAGGCAUUGAUAUUUGCCUUGGAUAUGAAGAUGACUACAACCAAAUUCAAGCCUCAUCAGAUAAAGAAGAAUAUCUUUAUAUUUUAGUUCAUCGUCUAACUAACUCUGCAGUAAUGCUGGAACAAAAAUCCUCGAGAGCAGCUGGAUUUGAUUUAGCGGCGGACAAAACUACUAUCAUAGAGCCCAGAGGGCGAGCCCUGAUUUCAACCAGGCUUAGCCUAGAAAUUCCCUGGGGAACAUAUGGCCGCAUAGCAACUCGUUCUAACGCAGCCUAGAAUCUUGGCCUUAAUGUAGGGGCCGGUGUUAUUGAUUCAGACUACAGAGGAGAAAUUAAAUUAUGAUAUUUAAUCAUUCUGACCAACAAGUGAUUAUUACUCAAGGAAUGGCGAUGGCACAAAUAAUUUUUGAAAAAAUAAUUCUUCCUGAUGUUUAUGAAGUUCCAAGAUUAACAACAACCGCAAGGGGUGAAGAUAGAUUUGGCUCAACCGAUGCAUCCACUAGUAAUUUCGUACCCUAUACAACAAGGCAUAAACCAAACUGGGAUAUAUUCUUGCCAAAGGAAAAACAUACAAUAUCUAUGUUCAUUGAAGAAGAAUCCCAUUCUCUGAAGGAACCAUCGGAAAACCUUGCAGGGACUACAAACCCAUAGGCCUUCGUACCCCGAUCCAAGGAACUUUCUAUGGACUCCGCAGAUGAUGAGGAUGAUUUUUCUUAUAUUCAGUAUUUGGCAAGCCUUUCUAAUUCCAAGGAAGCUGUUUGGGAUAUAUAUGAUGAUGAUAUCUCCGAAGACUGGGUAAAUCUUUUCUCCAGUAAACAACAUGAAUUCAUCUCCCCUGCCCCAUAACAAUUAAUCGUAGCAAGACAUGAGAUGGAAUAUCCCAUGCUUCGGCAACUAUUAGCCAUAGAGCUACUAGAACCCGUGGAACAACAAAUCUAUUCCACAAGUACAGUUAUCUCACCUUAUCAGCCUCCACAAGAUAAUACUAUGGGACUACCAGGUUAUCCACCAACCAUAAGAGAACCUGGAACAUCCCAACCCGUUCAACCUACAUUUCAUCAUGAACAUACUAAAUUAAAGGGCGGAUCUAAUAAUGAAAUAUGGAGCCUACCUUCAGCCCAGCAACAAGGAGGGGCCAUUUUUGUGUUCCAUGACGCUUUCUCUAGAUGGGAGUCUAUAACCCUCAACCAUGUAGCAGCUCAGGGUUUUACCGAUCCAAGUGAAAAAAUUGAAUACAUGGAAAAUCUCCUAGAAGAAAUAGAAAAGCUAGCUUGGAUACAGUGGAGAAUGACAUACCCCACUGAAUAUGAGGCACUUACAGAAGAGGAACUCAGAAUAUUAUUUCUCAAAUGAGAAGGGUAUUUUCCUCAGAAGACCCCACACAAGGAUCCACUGUUAUACAAGAUGAAGCAUAUCGAAACUUGGAAAAAUUAUCAUGUGAUAACGUCAAAAACAUUGUACAAUACAUGAACGAUUAUAUGCGACUUGCUUCCAAAACGGGAAGGCUUUACACCGGUCCAGAAUUAUCAGAAAAGUUUUGGUUUAAAAUGCUUGGAGAUCUUGGUACCAGAAUUAAAACAGCCUUUGAAGAAAAAUAUACAGGCCUGACAAUUGGCGUCAUCCCAAGAGUACUAUUUGCUUAAAGUUCUUAGAACAAGAAUGCAAAGACGCCGCAUUCAAGAGAUCUCUAAAAGCCUUAUUUUUUUAGAGUCAAAUACCCAUACCAGGGUAUUAUACAAGGAUCAAAGAAAUAUGGCCUUCGGAUAAGCAAAACAUAUAAAGGAAAACCACACGACAUUCAUGCACGCAUUGAAAAGAGGAAGCAUUUGCUUAAAAACAAAAAAUGCAAAUGUUAUCUUUGUGGCCAGGAAGAGCACUUUGCUAGAGAAUGCCCUAAUGAUAAAAGAAGCUCCAAGAGUGUAGCCAUGUUUGAACAGUUGGAUAUUCCUGAAGAUUGUAACAUAUUAUCUGUUCAAGAAGGGGAAGAUCAAAGUGAUGCAAUAUUUAGCAUUUUAGAAGGAGAGGAAGAUACUGGUGAUCUCCAAAGGUCAAUACAAACUCUAACCCUCUUUGAAAAUAUUUUUAUGCUAGGGCAAAUUAAUGGGGGAUAUCGUCCCCAAAUAAAGGUCUCAGAUGAACAGUACCAGUGCCAGCAUGAAUGGCACGCUAAUGGUGAUACUUUCCCACCACAACCAACAAGAUGUACCGAAUGCAAGAGGGAAUACACUGCCCCAAAUGCCUAAUAACCUCCUACAACCUUUGUGGCCCAUACUAUUUCGGUAAAUAGGUACCUGUAAUACCUGCUACUUCUACACCAUUUUUUCCUAACAAAUUACUGCAGGAACAACAAAAGUAUAUCUCCUGGUGCGAUGCCGAAAUUAAAAGACUUCAGAAGAAGUCUCUUAUUACAAAAAUCUAUACGAGCAACUCCUUUUAGAAGGUGAACUUCAAGCAAAUUAUGCAGAACUCCAUAAGGAGGUAGCCUCAUAAGAGAAAACUGCUCAUAUGUUAUAUUCAGAAAUGACAGAGGGUAUUUCGGCAAUUCAUGAAGGCAAAGGCCCACGGCUUGUUAAAAACAUAUUAUAUAAUUUACAAGUUGAGAUGGACAUCCCAGGUAUUCCUAAAUUCUCUUUAAAAGCAAUAUUAGACACAAGCGCAACUACUUGCUGUGUCGACCAACAUUCAAUUCCUAAAGAAGCAUUGGAGGAGAAUACCUUCUUAGUCCAUUUUAAUGGAAUAAUUCUCAGCAAACAGCCAAAUUAAAGAUGAGACAAGGCCGAAUGACAAUUGGUGAUAACAAUUUCCGCAUUCCUUAUAUAUAUAGUUUUCCAAUGGUCCUUGGAGAUAAAAUACAGAUGAUUAUUGGUUACAAUUUCAUCAGGGCAAUGAACGGAGGGGUUAUGAUUGAAGGUAAUGUUGUUACCUUUUAUAAAAACUUAACUAUCAUCAACACCCUUCCCUCUGCAGAUACUACAGCUGCUAUAAAAGAGCUUGAUUUAGAAGAGGAUGAAUAUCUUCAGAUUAAAGAAAUAGUAUCUUAUACUACUGGCAAGUCCCCACAAUCUUUCACAGAACAAUUCGGACCUCUAUUAAAAGAGUUAAAGAAGCAAGGAUUCAUAGGGGAAAAUCCCCUACAACAUUGGUCAAAAAAACAAAAUUUUGUGUUAUUUGGACAUCAAAAACCCAGAUUUUAUAAUAGAAGACAGGUCACUCAAGCAUCUUACUCCCAACUAGAAAGCAGCGUUCUCACGACAUAUUGAAACAUUAUUAAAGUUACAAAUUAUUAGACCUAGCCACAGUCGUCACAGAACAACAACAAUAAUUAUUAAUUCUAGGACAACUAUUGAUCCAGACACUGGUCGAGAAGUAAAAGGAAAAGAGCGUAUGGUUUUCAAUUACAAGAGGCUUAUUGAUCUGACAAAUAAAGACCAGUACAACUUACCAGGUAUUAAUACAAUCCUACAAAAGGUCAGUACAAGUUCUAUUUAUUCCAAGUUUGACCUUAAAAGCGGAUUUCAUCAAGUUGCAAUGCACCCGGAAUCAAUUGAAUGGACAACCUUUUAGGUGUCUGAUGGUUUAUUUGAAUGGCUAGUAAUGUCAUUUGACCUCAAAAAUGCACCAGCAAUUUUUCAACCAAAAAUGGACAAUUGUUUUAGAGGCACUGAGGAGUUUAUAGCAGUUUACAUUAAUGAUAUUUUUGUCUUCUCAAAAAAUGGAGCUGAGCACGGGAAGCACUUGAAAAUAAUGCUCAGUAUCUGUCAACAGAAUGGGCUAAUUCUUAGUCCAUCUAAAAUAAAAAUAGCAGUCCCUGAAAUUGAAUUUCUUAGAGCCGUACAUGGAAAUAGAAAGAUAAAGCUUCAACAUCAUAUUGUUACCAAGAUAACGGAGUUCACGGAAUUCCAGGAUAAGGACCUAAUGACGAAGAAAGGCAUGCGAUCAUGGUUAGGUAUUCUAAAUUAUGCUUGCAACUAUAUCCCUAACCUUGGCAAGUUUCUUGGGCCUCUAUAUACAAAAACCAGUCCCACUGGUGAUAAACGAAUGAAUUUUCAAGACUAGUCAUUAGUUAAAAGGACAAAAGAAACAGUCUAAAAUCUUCUUGAUCUGGAAGUCCCUCCUGAAAAUUGUUUUAUCAUCCUUGAAACAGACGGGUGUGUAGAAGGAUGGGGUGGCAUAUGCAAAUAGAAAAGAUGCAAAUUUGACCCGAAGUCUUCAGAAAAGGUUUGUGCAUAUGCCAACGGCAAGUAUUCACCCCUCAAAUCUACAAUAGACGCGAAAAUACACGCGGUCAUGAACACCCUCGAAGCCCUUAAGAUUUAUUAUCUUGAUAAACGGGAGCUGAUUAUCCGAACUGAUUGUCAAGCAAUUAUAAGCUUUUUCGGGAAAACUGCUUCCAAUAAACCUUCCCGAAUCCGGUGGUUAGCCUUCACCGACUACAUAACCGACACCGACAUCCCAAUUCAAUUCGAACAUAUUGACAGCAAGGACAAUCAAUUAGCUAAUGCGCUAUCACAGCUAAUAACUUGUCUUGUCAUUUCAGAAUGGCCAGAGCAGAUACUUGGCGGGCUGGAAUUGAUUCCCUUAGCAAUGAAGGAAGUUCGUCAACAACCCAGGAAGCAGAGAAGGAAAUUUUGAAGGUAAUCAACAACCUCUCCAAUUGGCUGAGCAGUACCAGAAGUUACUGCAAAGAUAGUACCCGAUAUCCCUCGAAGAGGAUCAAAGAAUCUGGCAAGAGCGGCACAACAUCCAACAACGGGCAGCCGUACAAGCCACUAAUGCCCUCUAACAACUCCGAAUACUACACUCCCCUAAGUUACGAGAAUGCCAACAGCUGAGGCAUCCCAUCACAAGACAGGCGGACCACCAGCUAGAACUGACAGCAAGCCUACUCAGUGACGCAGUGCGUAGGAUGAAUAAUUUCAAGGUCUGACCCAACAAAACCUUUAUGCGCUAGAACCUUAUCCUACUUUACUUUAUGUCAAGCUGUGUUGUAAAUAAAGGAAUCUUAUCCUACUUUAUGUGCUAUAAAGUAAGCACUAUGUAUUAUUAGGGACACCUCACGAUAUUCAUUCUUAUCAGAUAAGGAAAGCAUCUUGACGAUGGGACCCUAUGAGCACUCGAAGAGCUUUUCCUUCAUCUAUAUAAGGCAUAUUCGUGUUCCUUUGCAAGGCAUUCAAGAAUCCCUUGAGCCUUACUUAGGAGAAGUUCUAUAAGGGUCUAUAAAAACCUUUGAAGUUUGAAAUAAGAAGAGUCUACAUCUUUUAAGUAAGUUAUUAUCUCUUUUAUUUCUUACUUGCGGUUUCGAUCCACAACCAACCCUCCUCCCCCUUUUUAUUUCGGUAUCAGAGCGAGGUUAGUCUUUUCAUGAACUAUUAUUGUUAAAAUGUUGGUAUUAUGCAAACUAAGCUAACAAAAGAACAAGUCUUACCUUGGCAAUAUAGGCAAUCGACCUUAUAAGUCCAAGCAAACAGUUGUGUGAGUCUAGCUUGGUGAGGAACUACCCUUUUUGACAAUAGUAAGUUUCAGGAUAAGUAACUAUCCUUAAACCUAGUGUUUAUGAGCAAUUUUGUUAUAACAAAAAACACCUUACCAUACCGGGAAGCAAUCCAAGCAACUAAUCCCAUCGAGUCACCGGCAGUAGGUUUUGCUAAACCCAGUGAUUAUCAAGGAGCUAAUUCUUCAUUCUCUACAAUUAUCAAACAAAAUAAUACACAACUCCAACUGUUGGCCCAAAUUUUUGAAAAUUUACGCGAAAUCCAAACAGACCUUAAUUCUAUCCUAGAAAGGCUCAAGCAAAAGAAUUCUCCAACCAUACCUGACGACCUAAUUCACAAGCUUCAAAACCUAUCCUUGGGACAAACCGAAAAACCUAAGGAAACUGUAGGGAAACUCCGAGUCUUCCAAGAUCCGUAUAAACUUCUUAAACAAGAACAAGCAAAGCUCAAAAAGUGAUGGCGGACAGAAGACAACAGAGCAACUCACUACAACUGCCCCAAUGUUUGAAGAUCAAAUACGAGAAUACAGACAAAACCAAAGGAGGCUACACAAUGCUCGAAGAACAACACAACGAAUUGGAAGAAGACUUGCUGGAAGGACGGCACCAGUACACACUAUUGAACAACAAUUAGACCCUCAAGUAGAGCUUCAAGCUUCUAUGACUGAACGAGCUUCUAUAGUUCCUGCUGAAAUCCUAUACCACUCACGAAGAGAUGAUGAGCAUUAUCGGGUCUACAUUCAUAGGUCAGAAAAACCAUUACUGGUUAUUAAUUCUAGUCAAGUCGACAAAAAUUUUAUCCAGGAGGAAAGUUUCCAUCAACUGCAACGUAGCAGAAUGCAAUAUAUACAUAUUGGGAUACUCCAACGUUGGGUUUGCAUAUGAAAUACAAGGUGUUGUAAAUAUUCUAGUUGCCUCCAUCCUAUUGCAAGAUACUUGAUCUAUAAGUAGAGGAUGUUCCGGGCUCCUCACUCGACACAUUUUCCAAUCAAAUUUUCUCAGGUGGUUUCUUGGUUUUUUUUUAAAGACAUGGAGUGCAAGAGAGAAUAAUAGAGAGUGACAAGAAAAGAGUUUGCAGAGAACUGGUUCUUGUAAGGAAAUUCUCUUUGUAAUCUUGGUUUUCAAUAUAGUGAAAUUUGUAGCGGUGGUAUGUGGA